UAUGUGAUCGUCUCUCGCAUAUCAAUAAGCGGAGGAAAAGAAACUAACAAGGAUUCCCCUAGUAACGGCGAGUGAAGCGGGAAGAGCUCAAAUUUGAAAUCUUAAAGGGUUUCCCUUUACGAAUUGUAGUUUAAAGAAGUGUUUUCUGUUGAGGUCUUGGUAAAAGUUCUUUGGAAUAGGACAUCAUAGAGGGUGAGAAUCCCGUAUUUGACCUUUACUUUCAACUUUGUGAUACACUUUCAAAGAGUCGGAUUGUUUGGGAAUGCAGUCCAAAAUGGGUGGUAAAUUUCAUCUAAAGCUAAAUAUUGGCGAGAGACCGAUAGCGAACAAGUACCGUGAGGGAAAGAUGAAAAGAACUUUGAAAAGAGAGUUAAACAGUACGUGAAAUUGUCAAAAGGGAAGCGUUUGACACCAGUGUUGUUUUUCUGAAAAUCAAUUAAAGAACUGUUUAUGCUAAGUUGUUUAGACUUUAUCAGCUAACUGUUUAGUUUUGAGCUUUUCUUUAAUGCACUUUUCAGUUAACAAGUCAACAUCAAUUUCUUUUGCUGUAAAAAAGCUUGAGGAAGGUGGCUUGAGAUUCGUCUUAAGUGUUUAUAGCCUCUUGCCUAUGCAGUCGGAGAGAUUGAGGUCUGCAGCGUAGAUCCUUCGGGGCUAAAUGCAUUUGUGCUAAGUUAUAGCAUUUUAUAGACAACUUGUUGACUAUGAUUUGUCUUGUAGCUUACUCGCUUAUGUUAUUUUACCUACGCUUAGGAUGUUGAUCUACAGAGCGAGAGU
rnacentral:rRNA from 1 species